AAUCCCAUUACGCUCCUGAAAGGCACCAAGAUCCCCAACACAUAUCCCCCAUGCUGCACCACCCCAUUCUACCAAUCACAGCAAAACAAGCAACGAAAAUGGCCGACAUCAUAGGACACGGAAGCAGAAGAAAAAGUCAAACUACCAACACCACCAUGACAGAAUGCUGGCAAAAUGAGGCUGAAAAACAGGGAGAGGAGGAGAGGUUGCUGUUGACUCUGACUCCCUCUCCUCCGUAUGUCCUCUCCCCUUCUCCCCUCCCUCGCUUCAUCCUCAGCUGCUUUCCCCAUUCUCCUGUACCGCGAGACGCAGCCCACGCCACCAUCUUAGGACGACGCUCGCUGGCAUGAAAUGGAAGUGAGGACCAGAGAGAGCAGGCAAAUAAUGGUCCAGAACACUGGAAGGGGGCAGAAUGACAGCGAGCAGUAAUCCAUUGGGAGAAGAGAAGUUGCCCACAAACUACCAACCCAUCCCUAGUAUUUGCAAUGGAACAGGCCCAUUACAACAAUGUUUGUCCACUACACUCCGACUUGUGCCACAACAUUUGAGCAUCAGAGCACUUUAGCUGCCUCUGACAUGUGGUUGGACCUCUGGCCUGGGUUUUGUUAUCCAACAAGGGCCAAUCAGGAUUGGUUUUCUUUCCUUUCAUUAAGCCAAUAAGAAAGUGGGGUGGCAUGGAAAACAAGAGCAAAUAUCUCAGGAUUCAAAAUGAACAGAGAAACACUGAUUCUUGGAUACACUGUGCUAUGAAUGAGAGACAUGACAUGUGCUGUGUACCUACAGUAUUUGCUUGCAGCCUCAAUAACAUCUACACUGAGUGUCCAAAACAUUAAGAACAUCUGCUCUUUCCAUGACAUAGACUGACCAGGUGAAUCCAGGUGAAAGCUAUGAUCCCUUA